rnacentral:rRNA from 1 species
AAUCAACGCUGGCGGCGUGCCUCAGACAUGCAAGUCGAACGAUUAAAAGCUCUCUUCGGAGAGUGUAUAGAGUGGCGCACGGGUGAGUAACACGUAAGUAAUCUACCUUUGAGUGGGGAAUAACCCGGGGAAACCCGAGCUAAUACCGCAUAAUGCAGCGGCAUCGCAAGAUGACAGUUGUUAAAAGGAGCAAUCCGCUUAAAGAGGAGCUUGCGGCAGAUAGCUAGUUGGUAAGGUAAUGGCUUACCAAGGCUACGAUCUGUAUCCGGUCUAAGAGGACGGUCGGACACACUAACACUGAAUAACGGGUCAGACUCCUACGGGAGGCAGCAGUCGGGAAUUUUGGGCGAAU